rnacentral:rRNA from 1 species
UACGAAGGGGCUAGCGUUGCUCGGAAUCACUGGGCGUAAAGCGCACGUAGGCGGAUUGUUAAGUCAGGGGUGAAAUCCUGGAGCUCAACUCCAGAACUGCCUUUGAUACUGGCGAUCUUCGAGUCCGGGAGAGGUGAGUGGAACUGCGAGUGUAGAGGUGAAAUUCGUAGAUAUUCGCAAGAACACCAGUGGCGAAGGCGGCUCACUGGCCCGGUACUGACGCUGAGGUGCGAAAGCGUGGGAGCAACAGGGAGUUAAGA